AUUGAACGCUGGCGGCAGGCUUAACACAUGCAAGCCGAACGGUAGCACAGAGAGCUUGCUCUCGGGUGACGAGUGGCGGACGGGUGAGUAAUGUCUGGGAAACUGCCUGAUGGAGGGGGAUAACUACUGGAAACGGUAGCUAAUACCGCAUAACGUCGCAAGACCAAAGAGGGGGACCUUCGGGCCUCUUGCCAUCAGAUGUGCCCAGAUGGGAUUAGCUAGUAGGUGGGGUAACGGCUCACCUAGGCGACGAUCCCUAGCUGGUCUGAGAGGAUGACCAGCCACACUGGAACUGAGACACGGUCCAGACUCCUACGGGAGGCAGCAGUGGGGAAUAUUGCACAAUGGGCGCAAGCCUGAUGCAGCCAUGCCGCGUGUAUGAAGAAGGCCUUCGGGUUGUAAAGUACUUUCAGCGGGGAGGAAGGUGUUGUGGUUAAUAACCGCAGCAAUUGACGUUACCCGCAGAAGAAGCACCGGCUAACUCCGUGCCAGCCGCCGCCGUAACAC
rnacentral:rRNA from 1 species